UACGUAGGGUGCGAGCGUUGUCCGGAAUUACUGGGCGUAAAGAGCUCGUAGGUGGUUUGUCGCGUUGUUCGUGAAAACCGGGGGCUUAACCCUCGGCGUGCGGGCGAUACGGGCAGACUGGAGUACUGCAGGGAGACUGGAAUUCCUGGUGUAGCGGUGGAAUGCGCAGAUAUCAGGAGGAACACCGGUGGCGAAGGCGGGUCUCUGGGCAGUAACUGACGCUGAGAGCGAAAGCGUGGGGAGCGAACAGG
rnacentral:rRNA from 1 species